rnacentral:piRNA from 1 species
UUUGGAAUUACUUCCCUUCCUGGUUC